rnacentral:rRNA from 1 species
CCUACGGGUGGCUGCAGUGAGGAAUAUUGGUCAAUGGCCGUAAGGCUGAACCAGCCAAGUCGCGUGAAGGAAGAAGGAUCUAUGGUUUGUAAACUUCUUUUAUCGGGGAAUAAAGGUAUCCUCGUGUGGAUAUUUGCAUGUACCCUGUGAAAAAGCAUCGGCUAACUCCGUGCCCGCAGCCGCGGUUAUACGGGGGAUGCGAGCGUUAUCCGGAUUCAUUGGGUUUAAAGGGUGCGCAGGCGGGCCUUUCAGCCGGUGGUGAAAUGGCGGGGCUCAACCCCGCCGAGCCGUCGGAACCGGGGGCCUUGAGUACGGCGGAGGCAUGCGGAAUGCGCGGUGUAGCGGUGAAAUGCAUAGAUAUCGCGCAGAACCCCGAUUGCGAAGGCAGCGUGCCGUGCCGCCACUGACGCUGAGGCACGAAAGCGCGGGGAUCGAACAGGAUUAGAUACCCCGGUAGUC